GUCUGAUUGGACGAGAUCCCAAACUGGGCGGGGUCUGAGCUGGGGGGGCGGGGCCGAAUUAGAUAAUACCGCAAAUCGGGCGUGGCUGGACAGAUGGGCGGGGCUUAAAAGAGCGGUGUCUGAUUGGACGUUGCUGCAAACUGGGCGUGGCCCGACGGGGGGGGGGGGCUUAACGGGGCGGGGCCUGAUUGGACGUUAGCGCAAACUGGGCGUGGCUGGACUAAUGGGCUGGUCCCGAUCGGGGGAGGGGCCUGAUUGGACACUGCCGCAAAGUGGGCGGGGCCAAAACGGAGGGGCGGGGCGGGGCAUAAUCGGGGCGGGGCGCGAUUGGGCGUUAAUCAAAGUGGGCGGGGCCAAAGCGCGCGGGGGGGCGGGGCCGGAUUGGACAUUGCGGCAAAGUGGGGCGGGGCCUGUCAUGGGCGUGGCUUGAGAGGGCGUGGCCUGAUUGGAUGUUGCCUGAAGGGGGCGGGGCCUGAAGGGGUCCUGCACACCACCAUUACAGCCCAUACCACCAGUGCCACCAGUAUCAUCAGGGCUCCCAGUAUCACCAGUGCCACCAGUGCCACCAGUACCACCAGUAUCACCAGUAUGACCAGUAUCACCAGUGCAACCAGUAGCACCAGUGCUCCCAGUAUCACCAGUACCACCACCAGUAUCACCAGUACUUCCAGUACCACCAGCGUCACCAGUGCCACCAGUAUGACCAGUACAACCCAGUAUCACCAGUGCCACCAGUGCUCCCAGUACCACCAGUGCUCCCAGUGUCUCCAGAGCUCCCAGUAUCCCCAGUACCACCAGUAUGACCAGUAUCACCAGUGCUCCCAGUGUCUCCAGAGCUCCCAGUAUCACCAGUACCACCAGUAUGACCAGUACAACCCAGUACCACCAGUGUCAGCAGUAUCACCAGUGCUCCCAGUACCACCAGUGCUCCCAGUGUCACCAGUACCACCAGUAUCACCAGUGCUCCCAGUAUCCCCAGUGCCACCAGUAGGACCAGUACAACCCAGUACAAUCCAGUGCCACCAGUACCACCAGUAUGACCAGUACAACCCAGUACAACCCAGUAGCACCAGUGCCACCAGUAUCACCAGUACCACCACCAGUAUCACCAGUACUCCCAGUAUCCCCAGUACCACCAGUGCCUCCAGUAUGACCAGUACAACCCAGUACAACCCAGCGCCACCAGUGCUCCCAGUAUCACCAGUACCACCAGUAUCAGCACCAGAACCACCAGUGCUCCCAGUACCACCAGUGCUCCCAGUAUCACCAGUACCACCAGUGCUCCCAGUGCCACCAGUGCUCCCAGUAUCACCAGUAUCACCACCAGUAUCCCCAUUGCCACCAGUGCCACCAGUACAGCCCAGUACAACCCAGUGCCACCAGUAUCACCAGUACCACCAGGGCUCCCAGUACCACCAGUGCCACCAGUAUGACCAGUACAACCCAGUACAGCCCACUGCUCCCAGUACCACCAGUAUCACCAGUGCCACCAGUGUCUCCAGUGCUCCCAGUACCACCAGUACCACCAGUAUGACCAGUAUCACCAGUGCUCCCAGUGUCUCCAGGGCUCCCAGUAUCACCAGUAUCACCACCAGUAUCCCCAGUGCCACCAGUACAACCCAGUACAGCCCAGUACUCCCAGUGCCACCAGUGCCACCAGUAUCACCAGUGCUCCCAGUACCACCAGUGCCACCAGUAUGACCAGUACAACCCAGUACAGCCCAGUGCCACCAGUACCACCAGUAUCACCAGUAUGACCAGUAUCACCAGUGCUCCCAGUGUCUCCAGAGCUCCCAGUACCACCAGUAUCACCAGUACCACCACCAGUACAACCCAGUGCUCCCAGUAUCACCAGUGCCACCAGUAUGACCAGUACAACCCAGUACAGCCCAGGCUCCCAGUACCACCAGUGCCACCAGUAUGACCAGUACAACCCAGUACAGCCCAGUGCCCCCAGUACC
ensembl:lncRNA